rnacentral:rRNA from 1 species
CAGUCGCCACGGUAAUACAGAGGGUGCGAGCGUUAAUCGGAUUUACUGGGCGUAAAGCGUGCGUAGGCGGCUUCUUAAGUCGGAUGUGAAAUCCCUGAGCUUAACUUAGGAAUUGCAUUCGAUACUGGGAAUCUAGAGUAUGGGAGAUGAUGGUAGAAUUCCAGGUGUAUCGGUGAAAUGCGUAGAGAUCUGGAGGAAUACCGAUGGCGAAGGCAGCCAUCUGGCCUAAUACUGACGCUGAGGUACGAAAGCAUGGGGAGCAAACAGGAUUAGAUACCCCCGUAGUCCCUGUCUCUUAUAA